rnacentral:rRNA from 1 species
CAGAGACUGCAAGCGUUAUUCGGAUUCACUGGGCGUAAAGGGUGCGCAGGCGGCCAAGUGUGUUAGGCGUGAAAGCCUGAGGCUUAACCUCAGAAUUGCACCUAAAACUACAUGGCUAGAGCAUUGGAGAGGGUAGCGGAAUUCACGGUGUAGCAGUGAAAUGCGUAGAUAUCGUGAGGAACACCAGAGGCGAAGGCGGCUACCUGGACAAUUGCCGACGCUCAGGCACGAAAGCGUGGGGAGCAAAAGGGAUUAGAUACCCCUGUAGUCCACGCCCUAAACGGUGCACACUAGGUCUUGGCGGAUUCGACCCCACCAGGGCCCAAGCUAACGCGUUAAGUGUGCCGCCUGAGGACUACGGUCGCAAGACUA